GACGAACGCUGGCGGCGUGCUUAACACAUGCAAGUCACGGGGGCCCGCAAGGUUAACCGGCGAACGGGUGCGUAACACGUGAGCAAUCUGCCGUACACUGGGGGAUAGCCGGCCCAACGGCCGGGUAAUACCGCAUACGUUCUUCGGGCGGCAUCGCUUGAAGAAGAAACCUCCGGGGGUGUACGAGGAGCUCGCGGCCUAUCAGGUAGUUGGUGGGGUCACGGCCUACCAAGCCAUUGACGGGUAGCUGGUCUGAGAGGAUGGCCAGCCACAUUGGGACUGAGAGACGGCCCAGACUGCUACGGGAGGCAGCAGUGGAGAAUAUUGCGCGAUGGCCGCAAGGCUGACGCAGCGACGCCGCGUGGGGGAUGAAGCAUUUCGGUGUGUAAACCCCUGUUGCUCGGGACGAACAACGAGUUUCGACUCGUCUGACGGUACCGGGUGAGGAAGCACCGGCUAACUCCGUGCCAGCCGCCGCGGUAACAC
rnacentral:rRNA from 1 species